GUGACGCGCGGUGCUCAACUUUAGUCAGCGCCAAGCGCUUACCGAGGAGGGACGUAUCGCUCGCUGUUGCGCCGCGUAAACUCGCCGGAGUUCGAAAAAUAUAGCGCAACCUACGCAUCUAACACGUUUUGAUACUAGAAAAUGAAGAUACAAUACAUGGAAGACGAAUUAUAGAUUUUAGUUUUUUUAUAAAUCAAUUACUUAUACCUAAUUGAUAAACAUGGUGAAAAGUUUGGUUGUCGAUUAAAUAAUUUAAAAAUUGUAAACGAUUAUUUGUUUAUUGUAACUCAAUCGAGCUAUUCUAGGUUAUCAAAUUCAUCAGUACAAAUAAUAUUUCAUAAACUAUAAAACCAAUAAACUAUUUCG